rfam:Fukomys damarensis contig96809, whole genome shotgun sequence.
AGCUUUGCGCAGUGGCAGUAUCAUAGCCACUGAGGUUUAUCCGAGGCACGGUUAUUGUUAAUUGAGAUUGGAUUUAUUGCCUUUUGUUAACUUGUUAUUUUGAUGUAAAUGUUAGGGCUGUUUCUUGU